UGAAAUAUAGCUCAGUGGUAGAGCACUUGUCUAGCACGUGAAAGGCCCUAAGUUUGAUUCCUUGCAUUGCAA
rnacentral:tRNA from 1 species